GGGGAUGCCACGGUUUUGACGUUGUGAUUGGUAUAUCCGGAUUGCGAGUCCGAGAGCUGUUCUCGGUUAUCAACGGGCAAACUAAAUUAAACGACAAUAACGUUGUUUCUAUGGCUGAUUACAGAGCACAAAGACUCGCUGCUUAAUUAAGCAGUUCAGCCCGUUCAUCCUGACCAGCUUGCCGUCAGGAAUUGAGCGACCGUAUGCAAGACGCAGUACGCAAAUGAUGGUAUGCGUAUCAAGUUAACCAUUGGAGGUUAGACUUCCGUUAAAAAGUCUUUGACUUCGGUCAGGUUUAGUAACUUUCCUUACGAAUGUCGAGAUAAUAAGUUACUACACUCGUAGACAUCAGUUUGUAUCCGCAUCGGACGCGGGUUCGACUCCCGCCAUCUCCACCA
rnacentral:tmRNA from 1 species